GGAGAAGUGGCAGAGCGGUCGAUUGUAGCUGAUUCGAAAUCAGCCGCGCCCUUGCGGGCGCCGGGGGUUCGAAUCCCCCCUUCUCCGCCA
rnacentral:tRNA from 1 species